rnacentral:rRNA from 1 species
CCCAGACUCCUACGGGAGGCAGCAGUGGGGAAUAUUGCACAAUGGGGGAAACCCUGAUGCAGCAACGCCGCGUGAGUGAAGAAGUAUUUCGGUAUGUAAAGCUCUAUCAGCAGGGAAGAGAAUGACGGUACCUGACUAAGAAGCCCCGGCUAACUACGUGCCAGCAGCCGCGGUAAUACGUAGGGGGCAAGCGUUAUCCGGAUUUACUGGGUGUAAAGGGGGCGCAGACGGCAGCGCAAGCCAGGAGUGAAAGCCCGGGGCCCAACCCCGUGACUGCUCUUGGAACUGCGCGGCUGGAGUGCAGGAGGGGCAGGCGGAAUUCCUGGUGUAGCGGUGAAAUGCGUAGAUAUACGGAGGAACACCAGUGGCGAAGGCGGCCUGCUGGACAUUAACUGACGCUGAGGCGCGAAAGCGUGGGGAGCGAACAGGAUUAGAUACCCCAGUA